UGCAUACUCCCUCUAUCCGAAAAUACUUGUCAUCAAAAUGAAUAAAAAAAAGAUGUAUCUAAGACUAAAAUACGUCUAGAUAGAUUCUCUUUUAUUUAUUUUGAUGACAAGUAUUUCCGGACGAAGGGGGUACAUG
rfam:Triticum aestivum genome assembly, contig: Triticum_aestivum_CS42_TGACv1_scaffold_577862_7BL